UCUUUCUCUGCUCACCUUUGAGCAAGAUAAUAAAUGUCAGAAGGUUGUGUGUUCAGCUCAUGGGGUGAAAUUUCACAUGUCUGUUAAAGUCAGGUAAAUAAAGGUAAUUGGUGGCAUUCUGAUUUGGCUUAAAAAGAGAGAGAUUAAAUUAUUUUCCCUGGAACAAACCACAGAACCCAGAUAUUAUGAUUUUUAAGAUACAAAGAAAGAAUUGAUAUGCUAGUUAAUGAAAGAACAACUUUAGUGCUAGAAAAUAAUACAACAUUUUCACUUUGUCGAACUCUCCAUAUUGGCUUUCUCCUGCCGACUGACUAAAGCACAUCUUGGAGUUACACAAUGAUCAGAACCACUCAACUGUCAAAACACUCUUACAUCCAUUAUCUGGAUUGACGAGUGAUGUUGAUAAACUGGUUUAUGAUCCUUUAAAUUAGUUAAUUAUGGAGUGGAAAUCAAAAUCACAUCUGAAAAAUGUCAGAGAGAGUUACGUAUUUUCAUCAAGAAUAUUUGCGCAAAAUUACCUAUCUUUUGAAAUAAAAAACCUUUUUUAAAUAAAAAUCUUUUAAUUUAUUUUAAAAACUCAGCAUCUUAGAGUGAUACAAAAUAAUUUCUAAAUUGAAUAUCAAUAUUAGGAAAAAUAAAUCCAUAAAGGCAAUAAAAAAAGAAGCACUGACACUAGAGGUUUGGACAGAAAGUUAAAUAAACCUUAGAGAAUACGUUUAAGCUUUAAGGUGAAGCGUAGGAAGAGCUAAUGGGAAGAUAGGUCUCUUGUUUCUUAGUCUCUCCAGUCCAUGGAGGACACCCUAAAGGCACUUCCUAAUAGCCAAGAUUAGAUGAAUAUUACACAUUUUUUAUACUUGUUUGCUUUAAAAAAAAACAAAGAGGCUAAUAUAGAUAUAAAGACCAUCACGUAUCUGUGAGAAACGUCCAUGACUUUGAUGCGGCAAAGCAUCACCCAUAGUUUCUCUUCUUCCAGGUAAUCCUGGAUUCUUUUCUGCAGAAUACAUACUUAUCUCCUGCUCCCAUUGCAACCCCAGAGUAAAAGUUGAACCGCCUUUCUUGACAUGGUGUCCAACAAUCAGGUGCUUUUCGACCCCCUAGCUCCACUGGGAAUUGUCUCAAAGGCAGAAGAAACGUGGCACUCAAUGUCGUCUUGGUGAUAUAGAUUAAAAGAGCCAGGGGACCAGCCCGGUGGCGCAGAGGCUAAGUUCGCACGUUCCCAUUCUCAGCAGCAUGGGGUUCGCCGGUUUGGAUCCCAGGUGAGGACAGGGCACUGCUUGGCAAAAGCCUUGCUGUGGUAGGCGUCCCACAUAUAAAGUAGAGGAAGAUGGGCACAGAUGUUAGCUCAGGGCCAGUCUUCCUCAGCAAAAAGAGGAGGAUUGGCAGCAGUUAGCUCAGGGCUAAUCUUCCUCAAAAAAAAAGAAAAGAAAAGAACCAGCUUUUAGGGGACUGACACUUAUCCUGUGGACCAUUUCUCAUGUAAACUGCCUCACACCUCUCUGGGGAACGGACAGAAACAAUCUUGGUGCCCACUUUUAUGGGAAACAGAAUUUUCCGAGUUACUUCUGAAGUGUCCUCAUUCACACGCCAGGGAGGCAAGGUUUCUCCUAAGCUUUAAUUUGCGAGGCAAAGAUGUUUGUCACCUGAGCAUGCUUACCACAGACCCACCUCACUUC
rnacentral:lncRNA from 1 species